ACUAUGCUCCAGGGUUUGGUUUGUUCUUAAUUUUCCAUAACCUUGAAAUGCAUCAUUUGGUUGUUCAGGAUAACUUCGGUUUUUAUGAUAUAGAAAUUGAUAGCCAUGAACUCCUCUCCUGGAUCUGCUUUAUUUGUUUGUUUGUUUUGUCUAGCAUUGGACAGUGGUGUCAUUCUCCACAAGUUAGCAUGUUGGUAGUGGAGGAGGAGCUCACGGCCAGCCCCUCUGAUAAGGAAACCCUCCAAGAUAAUGACAAGAUCUCAGUGAUCUUUGCCUAUGGCACAUUUGCAGAAAGCAUGUUUGCUGCAUCCACACAGACAUGCAGGUAGCUGUGAAGAUCUUGGACAGGGGAUCAACAAGGCCUCCAGCAUCACACUGAGGUGGACCUCAUGGAAUCUCCAUAACAUCCAACUGUCAUUAAACUCUUCUUAACUAACACACCAGCAAAUCCUUAUUUGAUCAUUGAAUUUGCAUCAGGGAGCAUCCUGAGAGUGUCACAGAGGCAUUGGCUAUACGGAGGAAGAGGAGGCACACCUCAUUUUCCACCAGAUGGUGCUAGCAUUAAUUAUGUUCAUGAAAGACACAUUGCCUGCCCAAAAAUAAAACUGGAAAAUAGUGGGUGGGACAGGAAAUGCCAAACAGUGACUUUGGGUUGGCUAUAGAAGUCACCACUGACUUUAGCAAAAGCCAAAGGAGGCCCAUGACCACCUUUCCUUUUUAGCCCACUGGAGGGUAGAGGGUACCAGGGACUUCCCACUGACAGGUGGUACCUUGGCAUAGUGAUUUAUAAUAUGGUCAUUGGUUGCAUACCACAUAAAGCAUCAACCCUUUCAGAUCUGCACAGGCUGAUCACAGCCAUACACUCCCAGAUUCCACCAAACCUGUCUAAAAGCGUGCAACAUCUCAUUGCAUACUUGCUCAAGUACAGGAUGACUAUAGGCCAGCUCAAGGGGCAUCUGUGGCUAUAUUAUUGUGAAGAAGGUUUACCACUAGCCUCCAUAGAAACAGCCCCCAGAAUCCCAAUCAAUAGCAUUGUGGAAGCCUUGUGCACCAUGGGAUACAACCUCCAGGAAACUGUGACAUCAACAAAGAACAGCAAAUUUAGUGAGGUGAAGCAACAUACAGUAUAUUGCAACAUUGUCUGAGCCAUUGAGACACUUGUCACCAGCACUGAAGUCAGUGCAGCCCUGUUUGGAAGUGAUCCCUACAGGCCCUCUCCACCUCUUUCCCAGGGAAGAGGGGACGCGAACCUGCUUUCCUUACUUUCCUCUCAUCUGGAAAGAGCUCACUGUAGGAGGAUGAUGAGAAAGGAAGGGGGCAAUGCUGCAGAAGCUGCCUGGAGAAGCGAACUUUGUGAUCCAGGCCUGCAGGAUAAUACCAUGAUACCAACAUCACAAACAACAUUCUGGGGGAGAUUAAUGCUGUCAUGACACCCUGUGACAACCCACUGGAUGAUCCAUCCUCCAUGGCAUCAAUCACCCUAGGAUAUGAAGAACCACAGGGGCCGAUAAAAGUGACAUUGGUUUGUCUUCCUGAGAAGCAUCCCGAGCCAUGCCUCACCAGGGACCAGCCCCAGGUUGUGCCACAGCCUCUGAGUCCAGUUGACAAAGGCAGGAGAGGGUUUGAAAAGACGGGUUCAUGUGCUCAGAAUAUCAAUAUGGUUGCCUCCCAUAUCAAUAAGGUUGCCUCCCAGACCCAAAGAGAAGAGAUAUAUCCCCAAGGGAACAUGUCAAGUUCUGUGGUUCCUGAACUGUGGGUCUGUGUUUAACCUGGUAUGGACCGAGAGCCACGGGAAGGAUCCAGGACAGAACUCUGGGAGGUUGUCUGCCUACAGGAAUUAUGAUACCAACAGGAAUUAUGGACAGUCCCCUGUAUCACUCCUCCAGCUGCUGGGCCUGAAGUGACAGUCCCAGCUGUUUCAGCUCACAGUAGUGUGUGCUGGAGCCAUCAACAGAUGGUUCACAUGGUGUCCACCUGAUGAAGCAUCACCCACCCCCAGCUCCUGAAGUGCCUCUGGGACGGGGCACCCACAGAGCCCAACAGUCACCUUUGGAAACAGAACUGAGAUGUUACAAGGCUCAGGUUUUUCACCAGCUUGAUCCCUUCAUGCUCAAUAGCCUUCUCACUGACCAGCAUCUGACAGAAGCACGAAAAUCAUGCCUCUGUGGUAUUGUCAUCUCCCAUCCAUGCUUCCACAGCUCUUCUGACUUUUCCUACCAACCAAGGGAUUCCUGGACUUUCACUUUGACUGGACCCCUGAGAUGAUGCUUUGGAAAGGAACACACUCUGGACCAACUAAGGAGUGGUGAGCAGUUUGCUCCUGGGGAAAGCACAGGCUUCCUAUGGUGGCAUCAUGGAACUUAUGAGCCAGGACUCGGUGUGGCCCUGACUGUGUUUUGGAGUUCAGAUCUCAACUUCAGAGCUCCUGACAGGCCAUCCUUUCUGCCAUCAGUUCUGUUGCCUUGGUUGGACCCCAUGUUAUGUGAAAGGCUCAUUUGCUCGGUGUCUUUCUCCUGAUCCAAAAGUGCAAGUGAGUUGAGGUGCGGUGGUCCUGGCAUGUUGGUGAGAGCUGUUUCGGACCAUCUGUUCCCAGAGCCUGAUGCCCAGGACAGCAGCAGAGCUACCCAGGCAAAGUUCAUCACUGCACAUAGUGUUGCGGGGGUAUGGACAUGGCCCCAGAAAACUCUUAUGCCUUUGUUCUCACCGCGCAAGAAUCAGCACUGGCUAAGGUCAAGGAGUGAUACCCUGCCCAAGGCCAUAGGCUCCCGGUGGAGCCCUCUUCUUCAGUGAUGGGCCACCUGCACUUCCAAAGAGUGAUGGUGCAUGCUUGUUCCUGUUGGUUUCCAUGCCUUCAGAGGGCAGAGGUGACCAGGUGGCACCAACUGUCCUCUUUUUCUCCAGUGUCCUACUGUUGCAAGACUGUUUUUGUUCACUCUGUCUGGCAGCUUCAAGCUUCUGUCUGCCCCCCAGAUGUUUGUGAACUAAAGGAAAACAAACAAACAAACAAACAAACAAACAAAAACCACGUCAAUGGAAACACUGUGCACUGGCUCUGGGCUCCUUGCAAGUGAGGCUCACAGUGCAUCUGCCUAUAUGAAUAAACCUUUUAGGUAUUAGCCCAGGGUGAAAAUGCCAUUUACCUUAGA